rnacentral:rRNA from 1 species
UACGUAGGGUGCGAGCGUUGUCCGGAAUUAUUGGGCGUAAAGAGCUCGUAGGCGGUGUGUCGCGUCGGUCGUGAAAACUUGGGGCUUAACCCUGAGCUUGCGGUCGAUACGGGCAUCACUGGAGUUCGGCAGGGGAGACUGGAAUUCCUGGUGUAGCGGUGAAAUGCGUAGAUACUGGGAGGAACACCAGUGGCGAAGGCGGCUACCUGGACCGGUUCUGACGCUGAGGCGCGAAAGCGUGGGUAGCAAACAGG